rnacentral:tRNA from 1 species
CUCGCUAUAGUGUAAUGGAUAUCACGCAAGAUUCCGGUUCUUGAGAUGGGGGUUCGAUUCCCUCUAGCGAGG